rnacentral:rRNA from 1 species
AACGAACGCUGGCGGCGUGGAUAAGACAUGCAAGUCGAGCGCUGAUUCAAGGGUAGCAAUAUUCUUGAGUUGGAGCGGCGCAAGGGUGCGUAACACGUGGGUAAUUUGCCAUGAAGUCUG